rnacentral:lncRNA from 1 species
CCUCAUUCUUCUCUCUAUAACCCACUCAAGAGGUAGACAUUUACUCCUUUUCACAGAUGAAAAAUGGAGGCUCAGAGAGGCCAUACAACUUAACAUAGGUCACACAGCUAGUAAAUGCUACCUCUUCCAGACCUGUCUUCUCAGCUUGACUCUUCUACUUUACUUGGUGAUACACCAAUCUAUCUGGCAAUGUGGACACUUAGCAACCACACAAUUGAAAUGAUGCUGAUAACAACCUUCUCAAUUAGGACUGAAGAAGUGUGUCUAACAUUCUGGAAAACACACCACCCAACCCCCCAAGGUGCCUGAGUUUAUGUAAAAAGAGAGAUUGUCUUCGCUGUCAAGGUUUCCUGCCUCUCACUUCACUCCCACAGCUAUGUGUGUGAAUAUUCAGAAGCAAGGUUGGAGCUGAUUUGGAGUGAUGACUCUAAAGAAGAGAUAAGUUGCGUAUUGGAGAGUUACUCUGUCCCUGUCAGCCCAUCUUUGGAAUGUCUGGCCACCCUCACUGUGAUGCCACUGGAGGUGUUGGGAUUAUACCCAGGGAAGGGUUGAUGGGCGUUCCUCUGAGCAUCAGAAGGACGUGCCCCUGAACUGCCAAGACACAUGGACGGAAGUAAUCUUUCUACUUUGAUAGGACAAGAAGAGAAUAACCUAGGGGCUUGAUAGAGCAGAUUCCCAGCUCCUACUCACUGGAAAAUCUAGGAACGUGGCGCGGGUCUCAAGUUUCCAAUUUUAAGAAAGUGUCUCAGGUGUUUUUGAUGGCAACAGCAUUUAGGAAGACUGGACCAGCUGCCUGUAACACAUCUUCCACCUCUAAGCAUUUAUGAUACCUUCUCUUUGGAUCCUGCCUUAGUCACCUGGAUAAGUUUUGCAUUUUCCUGGGACGCAUCUUGUUCUACAUCCUCCGAAAAUGAACACACAUGAGCGUACAUAUACACACUCAAGACAGAGGCCUUGAGAUUUUCUGAAGGAGCAGAAGGCUUUUCCUCACAGAGAUGGACCAUAGCAGCUUUCCCACCAAGAAGCAGAAUGCAGACACACGACCAUCUAUGCAGGAAACACUGGACAGCACAAUGACCUUAACCUCAUGCGAGGAGACAGAAUGCAAUUCUUUUCAAGGGUACCCACUCUGUGCUGAAUACAGUGCUAGUCACUUUGGAGGAAACACAAAGCAAAGAAGCACCACCUCCCCUCAAGAGACUUCCAAUCUCCCCAAGUGGUGCAGACAAGACAAAACAGAUGAAGCAAGAAGAAAUUAUAUCAUAUCCAUCAAAUUUUGCUCAAGUUGUAGAGUCUGGAGAGCAUAAAU